rnacentral:rRNA from 1 species
GACGAACGCUGGCGGCGUGCUUAACACAUGCAAGUCGAACGGAAAGGCCCUGCUUGCGGGGUACUCUCGUGGGGCGCGGGUGUGUAACACGCGGGUGUUCCGCGCUGUACAUCGUGGUAUGACUUCAGAACACUGUGGAUUACCGCGGAUGGGCGCUCCUUCUGGUGAGGGUUGGUAGGUAAUUUUGGGCGGUGGUGGAUGGGCUCGCGGCGUAUCAGCUUGUUGGUGGGGUAGUGGCUUACCAAGGCAGUGACGGGUAGCCGGCCUGAGAGGGUGACCGGCCACAUUGGGACUGAGAUACGGCCCAGACUCCUACGGGAGGCAGCAGUGGGGAAUAUUGCACAAUGGGCGGAAGCCUGAUGCAGCGACGCCGCGUGCGGGAUGACGGCCUUCGGGUUGUAAACCGCUUUCGCUAGGGACGAAGCUUUUGUGACGGUACUUAGUAAAGAAGCACCGGCUAACUACGUG